UGUUGAUAGAUUUAGCGUUAUAGUUUUAAAAAUAUUAAUAAACAGCAAAUCAACACAGAAAGACCUAAAUAAUAAUAAUACAUAAUUAAUAAACAGCGCCGCCCCUCCCACUACGCGCAUCACGCGCUGUGCGUCAACCCCAAAGCGUCAAAAACUGAAGCGUGGUCAAGCGCCUCUAGCGUCACUGACAUGAGAUGUUUAUCGCUUUGAAAUCACGUUCAAGAAGUCUCAUUCAGCACACAUCGCGAUACUUUCCAUCAGUUUGCAAGAGCCGCAGGUUGGGUGAGUUAUACAGUCUAUGGUGAGUAGUAGUAAAUAUGCUCUUUUAAUGCCUGUCCUAAAACGUAUUCUGUCUUCUUUAUUAAUCAGAUGAGCGCCUUAUGUUUACUCUCUGUAUUACAUCGGUCAUCCGAGGCUGUCUUUGAGUUUCAUUGUGUUUAACUAAAUGAACACAGCUGCUAACUGGUUAAACUCUAUCGGUCACGUGACGUGACGUGACGUGCCACAGACCUGGGAUCCGUUUUAUAUUAAUUUCAGGUUCAAAGAUCUGAAAAGACGUAAAGUAAGCAGUCACCCCAGUGGUGUUUGUGGAGAGGUAUUCCUUCAGAAAUGGAGAAGACAGAAAGCUGCAGAGGCAGGAUUGUUUGCAGAUAAUGCUGUUCUUCUUUUUCAGAAGUUUUUGGGGAGCCAACCCUCACAAACCUUCCUAAAAACUAAAAGAGCUAUUACUGAGUCUCAGCAACUCUUGC